rnacentral:misc_RNA from 1 species
GGACUAUGGUUGAUGCUGCUGGAGUUGCUGUUGGAGCGAUGGCGACUUACAAGCGGAUGAAAAUCGUCAAACCAUUCACAUUUGGUCAAAGGAACACGCUCUAACUUCUCCUCAAACGAAUCAAACUUAUUUAGUAAGACAAGAAAGUCCAUCUGAUCGAAGGUUGGAUGAGUCGCGAUGCUCUCGAAAAGUUUCUUGGUUAACAACAUUUUGUUCACUUUCUCCCCAGUUUCAUCAACAACAUAUUCAUCAUAAUCACUCAAGGCAACACAGAAAAUAACCACACGAACGUCUUCAAACAUCUCAAUCCACUUGCAAUUUUCAAUGAACCCCCUUGCCUGUACUCUUAUCAGCUGAAAUCUGAGCACAGAAUUGGGGUGAUCACUGCUGUCAAGAUUAUCAUAAUCUUCUGAAUCUGGGAAUGAGAAGUCAACACACGAAAGUCCAUUGGAAGAAGUAACACCCUCAGCAUAUAAGAUAUCCACGUCUGAAGGUUCAUAGUCUGUUUUUAAAAUAUCAACUGCCCGCUCUAGGAAAUAACAAGACAUGUCAUGAAGCAUUUCCAGUUCACUUCUUCGCUUAUAAGUUGCCUGGAUGGCUGCAUCAUUCCACAACUCCUCAAUUAAAGGAGCAUAUUCCCGUGUUGCAGCUGGGAAAACAGCUUCUAGAUUACCCGUGGCCAUUAUUUUGAGAAGCCAAUCUGAGAAUGCUUUCAGUCUAGGAGGUAUGGAAUAUAAUGUUUUCUUUUCAAUCCCAGUCUUAUCACCUGUCAUUCCAGAGUCACUAGACGAAGAACCCUCUUGCAAUUCAUGCAAACUCUCUUCCUCAAAGCGCUCGCGGCCCUCAAGCAGAACUCCGAUGUAUCCAUAUACAUUACUUU